rnacentral:lncRNA from 10 species
GGUGAGUUGCCGCCAACCGCCCUAACGGCCGAAACAAUGUUAAUGGCUUUCAGAGUCUGGCGGCGCGUUCCCAUUAUCAUCUUCCUGUGACCCUUCCUCAUUUUACACGGAGGAGGUGGUCUCCACAGUGAUUUUAAAUUUAAUAUUUCUCUCAUAACCUUUGUGAGAUAAAAGAAUCUUCAUCCUUUUAACUUUGACGAGGGAUGAAAUGAAGUUUUCCACAACAUUUGGGAAGAUUUACAAGGUAUACUCCAUUUAGGCAAAAAUAACUGUCAGGGAAUAGUCAUUGUCAAGAGCAGUUUGUAUUGCAACCCACAAAUUAUACCUCUAUGUCGGUCCAGAAAUCCUUCAAUUUACCAAGAGAUUAUGUUUGAAAAUCUUAGAAAAAAUAAACAAUCCUGAAAAACUAAGUAGCCGGGCAGGGCCUGACAUACAGCUUCAGUACACUGAGGACACAACCAAACCAGGUCUCGGAAAGUCUGCACCACCACUACAAUACAGGCCAGGGUACAAGAGCACAGGAUUAGAGCCUCCAGGUUCUCAAGAAGGAAAAGGAGCAGACACCUACCUAUGGCAAAGAUGGCAGCCUGUGCAAAGUCCGCAGACACAUCCGUGCAGUACCCUCGAAGCUCCUCUAGCACCUGCUGCACAUUCUCAUCGUUCACCAGUUCACACAGCACCUCCACUUUCUGUAGUUUGAUGUAGUGGGGCUCCGAGUAGGAGCAAAAAAACUUUUUGUAGUGGCUGCUAAAGUGACCUGGUAAACUAUGCAAGAUCUGGCGUACAUGACAAAGAGCAACAAAACAGAGCUCACGGCUCUCUGAAGAACAGGCAGCUAGCAAAGGUCCCUUGACCCGCACAAGGACAUCAGUUUGUACGUGGGGAAACAUUUUUGCCAAGAUCAGAAAAAGUUUGGUAGCUCCCAUCACCACACCUGGGCUACUGCUCUUGAGGAAACUAUCCAACAGAUUGAGAAUGUCAAAUAGUUCUUCCUCACUGCGGGGUUGGUAGCGUAGCAGAAAGUUCAAUACUUCAGCCUGGCCCCAUUGGUCCAGUUUUGACAUUCUAUCCAAAAAACAAAACAAAAGAGCUAUUUUAGCAACAAAAUUAGGACCAUUUCCAUGCCACUGCCAUAUGACCAGGUGGUUGUUCAUCAUAGCAAAGGGAGAAUUCUUAAAAAUAGGCUGUGCCAUAAUUAAGUCACUUUUCAUGUACUAUUUAAAGUUUACACAAAAAAGGCUUAAAAUUCCAAGAUGAGUUGUUAAUACAAAUGCACACUCCUCUAAGACCAAAGACAUGAUCAGCAUACACUGGGUCCAGGUUCCUUACAUUUUAAGACACUAUAAAUGGCUUAGUUUGGGGGACAUGACUAGAGAAGGGUAGAACCUAUUCCCACAGUAUAUUUCUAUUUCCCUAUAUCAAUAAGGGAAAGUAAGGCAAAUAAAAGAAAUUCUCUCAGUGGAAUGUGAGGGAGUUAAUAGUGGUUAACUGGCCGGGCGCAGUGGCUCACGUCUGUAAUCCCAGCACUUUGGGAGGCUGAGGCGGGCGGAUCACCUGAGGUCAGAAGUUUGGGACCAGCCUGACCAACAUGGUGAAACCCUGUCUCUACUAAAAAUACAAAAUUAGCCGGGCAUGGUGGCGCAUGCCUAUAAUCCCAGCUACUCGGGAGGCUGAGGCAGGAGAAUUGCUUGAACCCAGGAGGCGGAGGUUGCGGUAAGCCGAGAUAGCGCCAUUGCACUCCAGCUUAGACAACAAGAGCAAAACUCCGUCUCAAAUAAUAAUAAUAAUAAUGGUUAACUUUCUUUUCUACCCCACAUAAGUUGUUCAAUACUUUAAUACAUCAACAAGAUCCCACAAGGUAGCAGAUCUCAUAAUAAAAAGAGUGCUGAGGCAUCCAAACCG